rnacentral:lncRNA from 14 species
GAGGACUGGGAGAAGGAGACACCUAUAGGUGCUGGCCCUUUGGUUCUGUUUUCUCUACUCUGAAGAGACCUGUUGGAGCCUCUUUGCUCUCAGGCAAGAGGAAGUUAAAUAAAUUAUCAGGAGAGACAAGCACCUGUGCUAUGACCCCUUUCCUCUAGGCUGCCAUUUGGUUAGCAAGAAUAGUGUCCGAGGAGACCAAC